UACGAAGGGGGCUAGCGUUGCUCGGAAUUACUGGGCGUAAAGGGCGCGUAGGCGGAUGUCUAAGUUGGGGGUGAAAUCCCGGGGCUCAACCUCGGAACAGCCUUCAAUACUGGAUAUCUUUGAGUUCGGGAGAGGUGAGUGGAAUGCCGAGUGUAGAGGUGAAAUUCGUAGAUAUUCGGCGGAACACCAGUGGCGAAGGCGGCCAACUGGUCCGGUACUGACGCUGAGGUGCGAAAGCGUGGGGAGCAACAGG
rnacentral:rRNA from 1 species